rnacentral:misc_RNA from 1 species
CGCACAUUGCGCCCUUUGGCAUUCCGAAGGGCAUGCCCGUUCGAGCGUCAAUAAGACCCAUCAAGCCUGGCUUGGUAUUGGGCGUCGGGCUAAUAACCCGCGCCUCUAUUCUCCCGGCUGGACGGUUAGAAUCUCAGCGUUGUGCAAUCAAUUCGCUAGGGAGGAUCGCCGGACGUGCCGUCAAAACUCUUUAAAGUCUGACCUCGGAUCGGGUAGGGAUACCCGCUGAACUUAA